rnacentral:rRNA from 1 species
AUUGAACGCUGGCGGCAUGCCUUACACAUGCAAGUCGAACGGUAACAGGUUAAGCUUACGAGUGGCGAACGGGUGAGUAAUGUAUCAGAACGUGCCCAGUCGUGGGGGAUAACUGCUCGAAAGAGCAGCUAAUACCGCAUACGACCUGAGGUUGAAAUCGGGGGAUCGCAAGACCUCGCUCGAUUGGAGCGGCCGAUAUCCGAUUAGGUAGUUGGUGAGGUAAAGGCUCACCAAGCCGACGAUCUGUAGCUGGUCUGAGAGGACGACCAGCCACACUGGGACUGAGACACGGCCCAGACUCCUACGGGAGGCAGCAGUGGGGAAUUUUGGACAAUGGGCGAAAGCCUGAUCCAGCCAUGCCGCGUGAGGGAAGAAGGCCUUCGGGUUGUAAAACGCUUUUGUCAGGGAAGAAAAGGUUCUGGCUAAUACCUGGGACUCAUGACGGUACCUGAAGAAUAAGCACCGGCUAACUACGUG